rnacentral:rRNA from 1 species
UACGUAGGGGGCAAGCGUUAUCCGGAUUUACUGGGUGUAAAGGGGGCGCAGACGGCGAUGCAAGCCAGGAGUGAAAGCCCGGGGCCCAACCCCGGGACUGCUCUUGGAACUGCGUGGCUGGAGUGCAGGAGGGGCAGGCGGAAUUCCUGGUGUAGCGGUGAAAUGCGUAGAUAUCAGGAGGAACACCGGUGACGAAGGCGGCCUGCUGGACUGCAACUGACGUUGAGGCCCGAAAGCGUGGGGAGCAAACAGG